AGCCCCGUCGUCUAGCGGCCAAGGAUGGGGGACUUUGGAUCCUCCGACGCCGGUUCGAAUCCGGCCGGGGCUA
rnacentral:tRNA from 4 species